AGGAUUAGAUACCCUGGUAGUCCAUGCUGUAAACGAUGAUUACUAGGUGUGGGAAGAUUGACCCUUUCCGUGCCGCAGUUAACACAAUAAGUAAUCCACCUGGGGAGUACGACCGCAAGGUUGAAACUCAAAGGAAUUGACGGGGGCCCGCACAAGCAGUGGAGUAUGUGGUUUAAUUCGAAGCAACGCGAAGAACCUUACCAGGUCUUGACAUCCAACGACCGCCUAAGAGAUUAGGCUUUCCUUCGGGACGUUGAGACAGGUGGUGCAUGGUUGUCGUCAGCUCGUGUCGUGAGAUGUUGGGUUAAGUCCCGCAACGAGCGCAACCCUUAUUACUAGUUACUACGCAAGAGGACUCAGUGAGACUGCCGUUGACAAAACGGAGGAAGGUGGGGAUGACGUCAAAUCAUCAUGCCCUUUAUGACCUGGGCUACACACGUACUACAAUGGCUAUUAACAGAGAGAAGCAAGACCGCAAGGUGGAGCAAACCUCAGAAAAAUAGUCUCAGUUCGGAUUGGGGGCUGCAACCCGCCCCCAUGAAGCCGGAAUUGCUAGUAAUCGCGGAUCAGCAUGCCGCGGUGAAUACGUUCCCGGGCCUUGUACACACCGCCCGUCACACCAUGAGAGCCGGGGGGACCCGAAGUCGGUAGUCUAACCGCAAGGAGGACGCCGCCGAAGGUAAAACUGGUGAUUGGGGUG
rnacentral:rRNA from 1 species